GACACAAAGUUUUGGUCCUGAACUUACUGUUACUUUUAGCCAAAAUUAUACAUGCAAGUAUCUGCACACCAGUGAAAAUGCCCAUCAAAACAUAGGAGCAGGUAUCAGGCACGACCAUCAGCCCAAGACACCUUGUUUUACCACACCCCCACGGGUAAUCAGCAGUAAUAAAAAUUAAGACAUAAGCGAUUAGUACCAAACAAAGCUAGACUUAGUUACGGCUACCAAGGGCCGGUCAACCUCGUGCCAGCCACCGCGGUUAUACGGGGGGCCCAAAAUAACAGACUACGGCGUAAAUAGUGACUAAAAUCUUAACUAAAUUAUAAGAAACAAACAAACCCCUAAGCGUAAAACCAAGGGCUAACGAAAACCAGCUUCUUAAAAAAAGGACAUUUGACCCACGAAAGCUAGGAAACAAACUAGGAUUAGAUACCCUACUAUGCCUAGCCAUAAAUUGGCACCAAAAACUACCAGUGCUCGCCAGAAUAUUACGGGCGAAAAGCCUAAAACUCAAAAGACUUGGCGGUGCUUCAAAUACGACUUAGAGGAGCCUGUCCUACAAUCGAUAACCCACGAUAAACCCAACCGCCUUUCGCCAAAAAUCAGCCUAUAUACCGCCGUCCUCAACUUACACUGUGAAGUAAAAAUAGUAGGUGUAAAAGCUAAACACAAAAAAGUCAGGUCAAGGUGUAGCUUAUAGGGCGGCAGAGAUGGGCUACAUUUUUUAAAAUAAAACAUCACGACAAGACGCCUUGAAACCAGGCCUCUGAAGGAGGAUUUAACAGUAAAAAAAGCAAGAAAACUUUUUUAAAACUCGCUCUGAAGCGCGCACACACCGCCCGUCACCCUCUUCAACAAACAAUAACAAAUUCUUAAUUAGAACAACAAAACUAAGACGAGGUAAGUCGUAACAUGGUAAGCGCACUGGAAAGUGUGCUUGGACUAACAAAAAGUAGCUUAAAACAAAGCAUUCAGCUUACAAUUGAACGAUGCUAGAGCCUAUUUGCGCCAAUAAUUAAACCUAGCCACAAAAACAAAUACACAACACAAAAAACAAACCAUUUGACAAGUUCAGUAGAGGAGAUCGAAC
rnacentral:ncRNA from 1 species